UACGUAGGGGGCAAGCGUUGUCCGGAAUCAUUGGGCGUAAGGAGCGUGUAGGCGGCCCGGUCAGUCCGCCGUGAAAGUCCAGGGCUCAACCCUGGAAUGCCGGUGGAUACUGCCGGGCUGGAGUCCGGAAGAGGCGAGUGGAAUUCCUGGUGUAGCGGUGAAAUGCGCAGAUAUCAGGAGGAACACCGAUGGCGAAGGCAGCUCGCUGGGACGGUACUGACGCUGAGACGCGAAAGCGUGGGGAGCAAACAGG
rnacentral:rRNA from 1 species